rnacentral:rRNA from 1 species
AGCAUAUCAAUAAGCGGAGGAAAAGAAACCAACCGGGAUUGCCUCAGUAACGGCGAGUGAAGCGGCAAGAGCUCAAAUUUGAAAGCUGGCCCCUCCGGGGUCCGCGUUGUAAUUUGCAGAGGAUGCUUUGGGUGCGGCCCCCGUCUAAGUGCCCUGGAACGGGCCGUCAGAGAGGGUGAGAAUCCCGUCUUGGGCGGGGUGUCCGUGCCCGUGUAAAGCUCCUUCGACGAGUCGAGUUGUUUGGGAAUGCAGCUCUAAAUGGGUGGUAAAUUUCAUCUAAAGCUAAAUACUGGCCGGAGACCGAUAGCGCACAAGUAGAGUGAUCGAAAGAUGAAAAGCACUUUGAAAAGAGAGUUAAACAGCACGUGAAAUUGUUGAAAGGGAAGCGCUUGCGACCAGACUCGCCCUCGGGGUUCAGCCGGCACUCGUGCCGGUGUACUUCCCCGGGGGCGGGCCAGCGUCAGCUUGGGCGGCCGGUCAAAGGCCUCCGGAAUGUAGUGCCCCCCGGGGCACCUUAUAGCCGGAGGUGCAAUGCGGCCAGCCUGGGCUGAGGAACGCGCUUCGGCACGGACGCUGGCAUAAUGGUCGCAAACGACCCGUCUUGAAACACGGACCAAGGAGUCUAACAUCUACGCGAGUGUUCGGGUGUCAAACCCGUACGCGCAGUGAAAGCAAACGGAGGUGGGAGCCCCCUCGCGGGGCGCACCAUCGACCGAUCCUGAUGUCUUCGGAUGGAUUUGAGUAAGAGCGUAAAUGUGGGGACCCGAAAGAUGGUGAACUAUGCCUGAAUAGGGCGAAGCCAGAGGAAACUCUGGUGGAGGCUCGCAGCGGUUCUGACGUGCAAAUCGAUCGUCAAAUUUGGGUAUAGGGGCGAAAGACUAAUCGAACCAUCUAGUAGCUGGUUCCUGCCGAAAU